UACGUGGGGUGCAAACGUUGCUCGGAAUUAUUGGGCGUAAAGCGUGCGUAGGCGGUUCAGCAAGUCGGGUGUGAAAUCCCUCGGCUCAACCGAGGAAGUGCAUUCGAAACUACUGAGCUUGAGUACCGGAGAGGGUGACGGAAUUCCCGGUGUAGAGGUGAAAUUCGUAGAUAUCGGGAGGAACACCAGUGGCGAAGGCGGUCACCUGGACGGAUACUGACGCUGAGUGCACGAAAGCGUGGGGAGCAAACAGG
rnacentral:rRNA from 1 species